GACGAACGCUGGCGGCGUGCUUAACACAUGCAAGUCGAACGGAAAGGCCCUGCUUUUGUGGGGUGCUCGAAUGGCGAACGGGUGAGUAACACGUGAGUAACCUGCCCUUGACUUUGGGAUAACUUCAGGAAACUGGGGCUAAUACCGGAUAGGAGCUCCUGCUGCAUGGUGGGGGUUGGAAAGUUUCGGCGGUUGGGGAUGGACUCGCGGCUUAUCAGCUUGUUGGUGGGGUAGUGGCUUACCAAGGCUUUGACGGGUAGCCGGCCUGAGAGGGUGACCGGCCACAUUGGGACUGAGAUACGGCCCAGACUCCUACGGGAGGCAGCAGUGGGGAAUAUUGCACAAUGGGCGGAAGCCUGAUGCAGCAACGCCGCGUGCGGGAGGACGGCCUUCGGGUUGUAAACCGCUUUCGCCUGUGACGAAGCGUGAGUGACGGUAAUGGGUAAAGAAGCACCGGCUAACUACGU
rnacentral:rRNA from 1 species